rnacentral:rRNA from 1 species
CUACGGGGCGCUCCAGUGAGGAAUAUUGCACAAUGGGGGGAACCCUGAUGCAGCAACGCCGCGUGGAGGAUGACGCAUUUCGGUGUGUAAACUCCUUUUAUAUGUCAAGAAAAUGACGGUAGCAUAUGAAUAAGCACCGGCUAACUCCGUGCCAGCAGCCGCGGUAAUACGGAGGGUGCAAGCGUUACUCGGAAUCACUGGGCGUAAAGGACGCGUAGGCGGGAUGUCAAGUCAGGUGUGAAAUCCUAUGGCUCAACCAUAGAACUGCACUUGAAACUGGCAACCUAGAGUAUGGGAGGGGGAGAUGGAAUUAGUGGUGUAGGGGUAAAAUCCGUAGAUAUCACUAGGAAUACCGAAAGCGAAGGCGAUCUCCUGGAACAUUACUGACGCUAAGGCGUGAAAGCGUGGGGAGCAAACAGGAUUAGAUACCCCAGUAGUC